GAACGAAGCCUUCGGGCUUAGUGGCGCACGGGUGCGUAACGCGUGGGAAUCUGCCCCUUGGUUCGGAAUAACAGUUAGAAAUGACUGCUAAUACCGGAUAACGACGUAAGUCCAAAGAUUUAUCGCCGAGGGAUGAGCCCGCGUAGGAUUAGCUAGUUGGUGUGGUAAAGGCGCACCAAGGCGACGAUCCUUAGCUGGUCUGAGAGGAUGAUCAGCCACACUGGGACUGAGACACGGCCCAGACUACUACGGGAGGCAGCAGUGGGGAAUAUUGGACAAUGGGCGAAAGCCUGAUCCAGCAAUGCCGCGUGAGUGAUGAAGGCCUUAGGGUUGUAAAGCUCUUUUACCCGGGAUGAUAAUGACAGUACCGGGAGAAUAAGCUCCGGCUAACUCCGUG
rnacentral:rRNA from 1 species